rnacentral:rRNA from 1 species
UACGUAGGGUGCAAGCGUUAAUCGGAAUUACUGGGCGUAAAGCGUGCGCAGGCGGUUGUGCAAGACCGAUGUGAAAUCCCCGGGCUUAACCUGGGAAUGGCAUUGGUGACUGCACGGCUAGAGUGUGUCAGAGGGGGGUAGAAUUCCACGUGUGAGCAGUGAAAUGCGUAGAGAUGUGGAGGAAUACCGAUGGCGAAGGCAGCCCCCUGGGAUAACACUGACGCUCAUGGCACGAAAGCGUGGGGAGCAAACAGG